rnacentral:rRNA from 1 species
ACAUUAGUUAGUUGGUAAGGUAACGGCUUACCAAGACUAUGAUGUGUAGCUGGACUGAGAGGUUGAACGGCCACAUUGGGAUUGAGAUACGGCCCAAACUCCUACGGGAGGCAGCAGUAAGGAAUUUUCGGCAAUGGAGGAAACUCUGACCGAGCAACGCCGCGUGAACGAUGAAAUAUUUAGGUAUGUAAAGUUCUUUUAUUAAAGAAGAAAAAAUGAUGGAAAAAUCAUUCUGACGGUAUUUAAUGAAUAAGCCCCGGCUAACUAUGUGCCAGCAGCUGCGGUAAUACAUGGGGGGCAAGCGUUAUCCGGAUUUAUUGGGCGUAAAGGGUGUGUAGGCGGUUUAAUAAGUCUAUGGUAUAAGUUCAACGCUUAACGUUGUGAUGCUAUGGAAACUGUUUGACUAGAGUUGGAUAGAGGCAAGUGGAAUUCCAUGUGUAGCGGUAAAAUGCGUAAAUAUAUGGAGGAACACCAGUAGCGAAGGCGGCUUGCUGGGUCUUAACUGACGCUGAGGCACGAAAGCGUGGGGAGCAAACAGGAUUAGAUACCCUGGUAGUCCACGCCGUAAACGAUGAGUACUAAGUGUUGGGUUAAACCAGUGCUGAAGUUAACACAUUAAGUACUCCGCCUGAGUAGUACGUACGCAAGUAUGAAACUUAAAGGAAUUGACGGGACUCCGCACAAGCGGUGGAUCAUGUUGUUUAAUUCGAAGAUACACGAAAAACCUUACCAGGUCUUGACAUACUCUGCAAAGCUAUAGAAAUAUAGUGGAGGUUAUCAGGGAUACAGGUGGUGCAUGGUUGUCGUCAGCUCGUGUCGUGAGAUGUUGGGUUAAGUCCCGCAACGAGCGCAACCCUUAUCGCUAGUUACCAUCAUUUAGUUGGGCACUUUAGUGAGACUGCCAAUGAUAAAUUGGAGGAAGGUGGGGAUUACGUCAAAUCAUCAUGCCCCUUAUGACCUGGGCUACAAACGUGAUACAAUGGCUGUUACAAAGAGUAGCUGAAGCGUGAGUUUUUAGCAAAUCUCAAAAAAACAGUCUCAGUUCGGAUUGAAGUCUGCAACUCGACUUCAUGAAGUC